CAGAAAAAGAGACCAGAGAACCUUUGGAGCUGAUGAGGGAACAUUUAAUUUACUACAUUUCCUGCUUUUCAUCCAAAACAGAGAUUAAGAUCGGGUUCUCCAACCUUAGUAACUUAGUUUGUGGACUUCAACUCCCAGAGUUCCUCAUUCAGCAAAGCAGGAAGUCAAAGCAAACUGUAAUCAGUAGCUGAAGAAAAAGCAUGCCGUUGCCAAAAGGAGCAGUAACUAUAGGUUAAUUUCAUCAUCUGAUUCUUAUCCUGAUACUGAACUAUACUGUUGUAUAUAUUUCACCAUUGAUUCUGAAGGAGGAGUAUCUAAACAACAAAACUUUUUACAGUACCAGAGAACUAGUGUCAGAUCUGCCUCUUCAGCUUGAUGCUUCACUGGCAUUCUGCCAUCAGUCAUUGGAGGUGGGGGGAGGAGAGGAAAUAGGCAAUUGGCAUGUAAGGAGUAGAGGUGAUCAAAAGGGAGAGUGGAUGACAAGCUUGACAGAAACCCAGAGAUGCGAGUACCAGCUUGUUCCAGGCUUCAAGGACACAGAGCCUGAAAAAGGAAUGUGAAUUGCACCAAACGUCUAAGCGGUUCCCAAAACACCUAUGGGCACACCAUUGGGUAAGGAUGAACUGGUCAAGGGGGAAGGGCCGGGAGGAAGAGGAAAUUUUUUAAAUCUUUUGUGUGGGAAUGUUAGUUCUAGCCUGCUUUGUUUGCAACCACUAAUACUUAGUAAAAGAA